rnacentral:rRNA from 1 species
AAUCAACGCUGGCGGCGUGCCUCAGACAUGCAAGUCGAACGCGAAAGUUCCCUUCGGGGAGCGAGUAGAGUGGCGCACGGGUGAGUAACACGUAGGUAAUUUACCUUCGGGUGGGGAAUAACAGCCGGAAACGGCUGCUAAUACCGCACAAUGCAGCGGCUCGACAUCGAGACAGUUGUUAAAGCGGGGGAUCGCAAGACCUCGCGCCUGAAGAGAAGCCUGCGGCAGAUUAGCUAGUUGGUGGGGUAAUGGCUCACCAAGGCGACGAUCUGUAGCCGGCCUGAGAGGGCGGUCGGCCACACUGACACUGACAUACGGGUCAGACUCCUACGGGAGGCAGCAGUGGGGAAUUUUGGGCAAUGGGCGAAAGCCUGACCCAGCAACGCCGCGUGAGGGAGGAAAUCC